UACGAAGGGGGCUAGCGUUGUUCGGAAUUACUGGGCGUAAAGGGCGCGUAGGCGGUGCCUCAAGUCAGGCGUGAAAGCCCCGGGCUCAACCUGGGAACCGCGCUUGAGACUGGAGUACUAGAGUUCGGGAGAGGAUGGUGGAAUUCCCAGUGUAGAGGUGAAAUUCGUAGAUAUUCGGAAGAACACCAGUGGCGAAGGCGGCUCACUGGACCGGGUAUUGACGCUGAGGUGCGAAAGCGUGGGGGAGCAAACAGGAUUGAGAU
rnacentral:rRNA from 1 species